CAGCCGCCACGGUAAUACGUAGGGUGCAAGCGUUAAUCGGAAUUACUGGGCGUAAAGCGUGCGCAGGCGGUUUUGUAAGUCUGUCGUGAAAUCCCCGGGCUCAACCUGGGAAUGGCGAUGGAGACUGCAAGGCUAGAAUCUGGCAGAGGGGGGUAGAAUUCCACGUGUAGCAGUGAAAUGCGUAGAUAUGUGGAGGAACACCGAUGGCGAAGGCAGCCCCCUGGGCUAAGAUUGACGCUCAUGCACGAAAGCGUGGGGAGCAAACAGGAUUAGAUACCCCGGUAGUCCCUGUCUCUUAUAC
rnacentral:rRNA from 1 species